CGCAACCCAAAGACAGAAGACGGUAUUUUCGUCUCUGAGAGGCGAGUCGACUCCAAGACAGUUCGAGUCGACUCCAAGGCAGCGCGACCCCAAAAAUGCAGAGGAUCAGUUUUCGGGCUCUGAGAGCUGAGUCGACUCCAAGAGAAUCCGAGUCGACUCGAGGAAGAAAAUCAGAAAGUAUGUCCUCUGGAUUCAUGGGAUGAGCCGACUCCGAAGAUGCCAAGUCAGCUCCAGAUGUUGGCGAGUCGACUCCGGGUUAAGUCGAGUCGACUCCCAGUCAAGGCAUGCACUUUAAUUCAAAUUUGGAACAGU
rnacentral:lncRNA from 1 species